GCGGAUGUGGCUCAGUUGGUAGAGCAUCACCUUGCCAAGGUGAGGGUCGCGGGUUCGAAUCCCGUCAUCCGCU
rnacentral:tRNA from 7 species